AGAGCCUGAGUAGCCAGGUGGGUAGCUUACAGGCAAGCACAGUUCCAAGAAACAACAACAACAACAACAACAACAAUGACAACAACAACAACAGAACCAAAAAGGAUCUAAGCUUGCCCACAGCAACAAGCACAGACUGAUUGGCUGUCCUCCACUUUCCCCAGAAAAACUUAAAGCAGGGUGACACCAUCUCCAGCUCCAGGGGCAAAUCAUAUUUGAUGUAAGGGUACUUUUGGAAUGGAUGCUUUCAAGUGAGACUGAUGAUUCAACUGCUACUCCAUGUCUUUCAGUUGAAGAAUUUAAGCCAUUUAUAUUUAGAGUAAUUAUUAAAG